CUACGGGACGCUGCAGUGGGGAAUAUUGCACAAUGGGCGCAAGCCUGAUGCAGCCAUGCCGCGUGUAUGAAGAAGGCCUUCGGGUUGUAAAGUACUUUCAGCGGGGAGGAAGGGAGUAAAGUUAAUACCUUUGCUCAUUGACGUUACCCGCAGAAGAAGCACCGGCUAACUCCGUGCCAGCAGCCGCGGUAAUACGGAGGGUGCAAGCGUUGAUCGGAAUUACUGGGCGUAAAGCGCACGCAGGCGGUUUGUUAAGUCAGAUGUGAAAUCCCCGGGCUCAACCUGGGAACUGCAUCUGAUACUGGCAAGCUUGAGUCUCGUAGAGGGGGGUAGAAUUCCAGGUGGAGCGGUGAAAUGCGUAGAGAUCUGGAGGAAUACCGGUGGCGAAGGCGGCCCCCUGGACGAAGACUGACGCUCAGGUGCGAAAGCGUGGGGAGCAAACAGGAUUAGAUACCCCGGUAGUC
rnacentral:rRNA from 1 species